ACAGCAGUAGCCGCGGUAAUACAGAGGGUGCAAGCGUUAAUCGGAAUUACUGGGCGUAAAGCGCGCGUAGGUGGUUUGUUAAGUUGGAUGUGAAAGCCCCGGGCUCAACCUGGGAACUGCAUCCAAAACUGGCAAGCUAGAGUACGGUAGAGGGUGGUGGAAUUUCCUGUGUAGCGGUGAAAUGCGUAGAUAUAGGAAGGAACACCAGUGGCGAAGGCGACCACCUGGACUGAUACUGACACUGAGGUGCGAAAGCGUGGGGAGCAAACAGGAUUAGAGACCCCAGUAGUCCCUGUCUCUUAUAC
rnacentral:rRNA from 1 species